rnacentral:rRNA from 1 species
AGUUUUGAGCUAAAUAUAUUUUAAAUAUUAGUUAUUUUAUGAAGGUGUUGUAAAACCUUAUUAAAAAAUAUAUUUAGGGGUGAUAGGCUUUUCAAAAACUAAGAUAUCUUGAAUCUAAUUAAAAGUAUGUAGUACAUUAAACACAACUAUUAAGUGAUUAGGCUUUAUAGAAUUAUUAACUUAUAAGAUUUUAUUUACUAUAAUUUAAUAUUUAAGUUCAUAAAUAUAUUAAUAUUCAUAUAUUUUAGUUUAUAAUAGAGUAAUUUGAUAGAUUUAAGUUUUUAUUUCUUAUAAUAAUGUUAAUAUUAGUAUUAAGUUUAUACUUAUAUGAUGAACUCGGCAAAAAUACUUCUCAACUGUUUAUCAAAAACAUAACUAUGUGAAUGAAUACAUAGCGGUUUCUGCUCAAUGAAUAAAUUAAAUAGCCGCAGUAUACUGACUGUGCAAAGGUAGCAUAAUCAAUUGACUUAUAAUUGAAGUCUAGAAUGAAUGAAAUGAUGGGAAACUACUAUAUUUUAUAAAUAUAUAUAAUUUAUUUAUGAAGUGAAAAUACUUCUAUAAAAAUAAUAGACGAGAAGACCCUAGAAAUUUUUAGUAAUUAAAAUUAUAUUUGAGAAAUUUUUUGUUGGGGCGACAAAGUAGCAUAUUAACCUACUAAGAUUAGACUUGCACUUUUUUAAUUGUUUGAAAAAAUUACUCUAGGGAUAACAGCAUAAUAUUUAAAAGUUUAUGACCUCGAUGUUGGAUUAGGAAAUAAUAACUUAAAAGGUUUUUUAUAUUGCUCUGUUCGAGCAUGAACUCCUACAUGAUC